rnacentral:rRNA from 1 species
UACGGGGGGGGCAAGCGUUGUUCGGAAUUACUGGGCGUAAAGCGCGCGUGGGCGGCUUUUCAAGUCGGGCGUGAAAGCCCCGGGCUUAACCCGGGAAUGGCGCUCGAUACUGUUGAGCUAGAGUGUGGAAGGGGCUACUGGAAUUCCGUGUGUAGCGGUGGAAUGCGUAGAGAUCCGGAAGAACACCGGUGGCGAAGGCGGCCUGCUGGGCAGUGGCUGACGCUGAGGCGCGACAGCGUGGGGAGCAAACAGG